rnacentral:rRNA from 1 species
GGUUAAGCGACUAAGCGUACACGGUGGAUGCCCUGGCAGUCAGAGGCGAUGAAGGACGUGCUAAUCUGCGAUAAGCGUCGGUAAGGUGAUAUGAACCGUUAUAACCGGCGAUUUCCGAAUGGGGAAACCCAGUGUGUUUCGACACACUAUCAUUAACUGAAUCCAUAGGUUAAUGAGGCGAACCGGGGGAACUGAAACAUCUAAGUACCCCGAGGAAAAGAAAUCAACCGAGAUUCCCCCAGUAGCGGCGAGCGAACGGGGAGCAGCCCAGAGCCUGAAUCAGUGUGUGUGUUAGUGGAAGCGUCUGGAAAGGCGCGCGAUACAGGGUGACAGCCCCGUACACAAAAAUGCACAUGCUGUGAGCUCGAUGAGUAGGGCGGGACACGUGGUAUCCUGUCUGAAUAUGGGGGGACCAUCCUCCAAGGCUAAAUACUCCUGACUGACCGAUAGUGAACCAGUACCGUGAGGGAAAGGCGAAAAGAACCCCGGCGAGGGGAGUGAAAAAGAACCUGAAACCGUGUACGUACAAGCAGUGGGAGCACGCUUAGGCGUGUGACUGCGUACCUUUUGUAUAAUGGGUCAGCGACUUAUAUUCUGUAGCAAGGUUAACCGAAUAGGGGAGCCGAAGGGAAACCGAGUCUUAACUGGGCGUUAAGUUGCAGGGUAUAGACCCGAAACCCGGUGAUCUAGCCAUGGGCAGGUUGAAGGUUGGGUAACACUAACUGGAGGACCGAACCGACUAAUGUUGAAAAAUUAGCGGAUGACUUGUGGCUGGGGGUGAAAGGCCAAUCAAACCGGGAGAUAGCUGGUUCUCCCCGAAAGCUAUUUAGGUAGCGCCUCGUGAAUUCAUCUCCGGGGGUAGAGCACUGUUUCGGCAAGGGGGUCAUCCCGACUUACCAACCCGAUGCAAACUGCGAAUACCGGAGAAUGUUAUCACGGGAGACACACGGCGGGUGCUAACGUCCGUCGUGAAGAGGGAAACAACCCAGACCGCCAGCUAAGGUCCCAAAGUCAUGGUUAAGUGGGAAACGAUGUGGGAAGGCCCAGACAGCCAGGAUGUUGGCUUAGAAGCAGCCAUCAUUUAAAGAAAGCGUAAUAGCUCACUGGUCGAGUCGGCCUGCGCGGAAGAUGUAACGGGGCUAAACCAUGCACCGAAGCUGCGGCAGCGACGCUGAUGCGUUGUUGGGUAGGGGAGCGUUCUGUAAGCCUGCGAAGGUGUGCUGUGAGGCAUGCUGGAGGUAUCAGAAGUGCGAAUGCUGACAUAAGUAACGAUAAAGCGGGUGAAAAGCCCGCUCGCCGGAAGACCAAGGGUUCCUGUCCAACGUUAAUCGGGGCAGGGUGAGUCGACCCCUAAGGCGAGGCCGAAAGGCGUAGUCGAUGGGAAACAGGUUAAUAUUCCUGUACUUGGUGUUACUGCGAAGGGGGGACGGAGAAGGCUAUGUUGGCCGGGCGACGGUUGUCCCGGUUUAAGCGUGUAGGCUGGUUUUCCAGGCAAAUCCGGAAAAUCAAGGCUGAGGCGUGAUGACGAGGCACUACGGUGCUGAAGCAACAAAUGCCCUGCUUCCAGGAAAAGCCUCUAAGCAUCAGGUAACAUCAAAUCGUACCCCAAACCGACACAGGUGGUCAGGUAGAGAAUACCAAGGCGCUUGAGAGAACUCGGGUGAAGGAACUAGGCAAAAUGGUGCCGUAACUUCGGGAGAAGGCACGCUGAUAUGUAGGUGAAGUCCCUCGCGGAUGGAGCUGAAAUCAGUCGAAGAUACCAGCUGGCUGCAACUGUUUAUUAAAAACACAGCACUGUGCAAACACGAAAGUGGACGUAUACGGUGUGACGCCUGCCCGGUGCCGGAAGGUUAAUUGAUGGGGUCAGCGCAAGCGAAGCUCUUGAUCGAAGCCCCGGUAAACGGCGGCCGUAACUAUAACGGUCCUAAGGUAGCGAAAUUCCUUGUCGGGUAAGUUCCGACCUGCACGAAUGGCGUAAUGAUGGCCAGGCUGUCUCCACCCGAGACUCAGUGAAAUUGAACUCGCUGUGAAGAUGCAGUGUACCCGCGGCAAGACGGAAAGACCCCGUGAACCUUUACUAUAGCUUGACACUGAACAUUGAGCCUUGAUGUGUAGGAUAGGUGGGAGGCUUUGAAGUGUGGACGCCAGUCUGCAUGGAGCCGGCCUUGAAAUACCACCCUUUAAUGUUUGAUGUUCUAACGUGGACCCGUAAUCCGGGUUGCGGACAGUGUCUGGUGGGUAGUUUGACUGGGGCGGUCUCCUCCUAAAGAGUAACGGAGGAGCACGAAGGUUGGCUAAUCCUGGUCGGACAUCAGGAGGUUAGUGCAAUGGCAUAAGCCAGCUUGACUGCGAGCGUGACGGCGCGAGCAGGUGCGAAAGCAGGUCAUAGUGAUCCGGUGGUUCUGAAUGGAAGGGCCAUCGCUCAACGGAUAAAAGGUACUCCGGGGAUAACAGGCUGAUACCGCCCAAGAGUUCAUAUCGACGGCGGUGUUUGGCACCUCGAUGUCGGCUCAUCACAUCCUGGGGCUGAAGUAGGUCCCAAGGGUAUGGCUGUUCGCCAUUUAAAGUGGUACGCGAGCUGGGUUUAGAACGUCGUGAGACAGUUCGGUCCCUAUCUGCCGUGGGCGCUGGAGAACUGAGGGGGGCUGCUCCUAGUACGAGAGGACCGGAGUGGACGCAUCACUGGUGUUCGGGUUGUCAUGCCAAUGGCACUGCCCGGUAGCUAAAUGCGGAAGAGAUAAGUGCUGAAAGCAUCUAAGCACGAAACUUGCCCCGAGAUGAGUUCUCCCUGACUCCUUGAGAGUCCUGAAGGAACGUUGAAGACGACGACGUUGAUAGGCCGGGUGUGUAAGCGCAGCGAUGCGUUGAGCUAACCGGUACUAAUGAACCGUGAGGCUUAACCUU